GGGUGUAGGACCUCUGUUCUUAAGAUGAAUACAAGUGGUGAGAGAAGAUAUCCCUGCCUUGUUCAUGAAGUUAUAGUUCUCUUUCAGUGGGAGCUGCCCAUACUAGAUAUUCAAUUUGGUCUUCCUCUCUUAGCUAUAAAAUGAAUGCUGCCUGUUCAGCAGGAAGGCCAGCAGGCAGAGAGGCAGUAUGGCACCAUUCAAGAAGCACCAGCCUGGGAGACAGA